UUUUUUUUUUUUUUUGGACUGCGCCCACAGCACAUGGACGUUCCCAAGCCAAGGAUCGAAUCCAAGCCUCAGCUGUACCUAAGCCACAGCUGUAGCAAUGCUGGAUCCUUAACCCACUGUGCCACAGUGGGACCUCCUAGAGAAAGCUAUUUUUUAAUCUCUUACAUGUGACACUUGGUAUGAUAAAAAUGUAAAUACUGUAAUGUAAAGUGCAGUUACCAAAACUCAACAAGAGAGUAGUGAACCUACAUCUACAGGGGCAGCCUGGUUUCUCAUCCUCAAAGUCCUAUUCAAAUAGCUUUACUCUAAACAUCAGAGAAUAUGCAUUUUUAUUUUCAGAAUUAAGUGCAUCCAAGAAAUAAAACUUUUCAUUGAUGGGAAACUGACAAACGUACUGCCUAAAACCACAUGGUACCGUAUUUCCAACUGAGUUUUCUUGAUCCAAAAUAUCCUGACAGCCAAAUUUCAAAACUAAAAAACAAUUUUAGGGAUGGAAACUUAGAUAUAGUAAAUAGAGCUAGUUAUUAUUCUCCUUGAAUGAACUGGUUAGACUUUGUGUAUUUUUGUAGAAGUAACCCCGUGACAAGCUCAUUCAAUUAAGUUCCUCUCUGCUGCCAGGUUAAGAACCCAAGUCUUCAAACAAGGUUCUUCCCCUCCACAUCAAGAGAGAUUUUAAACAAGUCAUGAAAAUUAAUGCUCAGGAAAAAGCUCAAGAGUAUCAACAAAUGUCCACUGCUCUCCAAAUCCUAACUCAACAGAAGCCACCUUUACCUGUCCUGCCAUCUAAGAACAGGAGACCUUAUUGUCAUUAAUUAACAUUGCCCCUAACCAAUAAUACAUGUAACAUACAGGAAAUAACCCCACAUCGUCAUAGUACUGAGUAGACUAUGAUUUAUGCAUAAAUGUUAAUGAAUGAUAAAAUGUAGCAUAAUAGCAAUUAAGUAAUUCAGCUAGACAGUAAAAUGCCAACUUGCAUGCAUAAUAAGUUACUCGGUUUUUUAAAAAUAUUCCAAUACCGGAGUUCCCGUCGUGGCGCAGUGGUUAACGAAUCCGACUAAGAACCAUGAGGUUGCGGGUUCGAUCCCUGCCCUUGCUCAGUAGGUUAACGAUCUGGCAUUGCCGUGAACUGUGGUGUAGGUCGCAGAUGCGGCUCGGAUCCCACGUUGCUGUGGCUCUGGUGUAGGCCGGUGGCUACGGCUCCGGUUCGACCCCUAGCCUGGGAACGUCCAUAUGCCGAGGGAGCGGCCCAAGAAAUGGCAAAAAGACAAAAAAAAAAAAAAAAAAAAUUCCAAUACCCAUUGCUAGUUUCAGUAAAUUUGCUCUUAUGAUAGAUCAAAUAGAGAUAUGACAGAGAUAGUGCAGAUGUUCCUAUAAACAGGAAUAUGAAAAUGCCUAUCAAAAGCAGUAAUCCCAAUCUAACAAUACGACUUUCUGUAUCUCUCAAUUAUCUCUCCGAUGUAUUUUUUUUAAAAUGUGAAACAGAGAAAAAGGCUGUUUGUGCAAAAGUGUUCAUCUUAAGUUUUAAAAAAACAAACUUUUCUGGCUUGAAAAUUCCAUACAGGAAAAUUCAGCAUGUUUUUUUAUCCUCAAGAUGCUCAGCUUUUUGUCUUUUCUUUCAACUGGACCAUAAAUUCCUUGAGGGCAGCAAUUGCAUCUUGUAUCUCUCAUCCCGUAUAGUGCUGUUUAGUACUCAUUACUAGCCAAGUAAAAGUCAAAUCAUACGGCCAGUGAGCAACUGGUGAUACGUUUUCUUCUUAAGUGGUCGGAUUAUGAAACAGAAGGGUAAUUCUACAUGUCUCUCCAAAUACCCAUAGGGGACUCUGACUUCGUAAUGUAGAUCUUUACAGCAGAUGAACUCCUGGCAAAAUGCUAAAUGCUUUACACACCACUAUUGUAAUGAAUUUCAAAAUACAUGUCAAAAAAAAAAUAAAAGAGGUUAAAAAUUUGAUAGCUAAAAAUCACUAAAGGAAAAGCAUUACAAGAUGAAGUCAAAAUCUCCCACAACAUAAGGACAAAGACAGAAAGAUGGAAAAUGGGAAGGAAAGCCAAGGGAUGUAGAGGAUCAAAUCAGAGGACCCAACAUCUGACUGACAGGAAUUCCAUUAAGAAAGAACAGAGAAAGCCUAAGGAAAACACAUCAAAAUAAUAAAAGAAAAUGGCCCGGAGCCAACUGGAGAUGUAGUUUCCAGAUUACUUCAAGUACCACUCCGUUAAUAAGACCCGAACAUCAUUACAAAAUUUGAGGACCACACUUAAGAGAGAGCCCAAAAGUUUCAUGAAAGAAAAACAACACUGAAUCUAGAAAGAAAAUUCCAUUUUUUAAAAAGGCUUCUAUGUUCUUCUCCCAGGAAAAAUAAAAGCAGAGAUCCAACACUUCAGGGUUAAGAGACUAUAUAUGAAGGUUAGAGGCCACGUUUGAAGAAAAUGAAUGUUGUACAGCGUCAAUGAAUUGAUACAAGUAAAUAAGGAAUCUUCAUCUCAUCCCGUCCACAGAGAGGCCCAAGAAUCAUGAAAUUGGAAAAGAACGUAAUCAGACCAUCUUACUCGGUCCCUUAGUGGACAUUAUUUGCAUAGAUAGAGCAUAAACGCUGAUGAUUUUCAAUUUGUAAGUAUCCACCUAAAUAUGCAACACAGGAGACUCUGUAAUAGUUACAGAACAGAAUUGUCAACUUUAGCAAUUAGAAAAUAAAUGCAGCUUAAACAUUUCGGAAAGCAGGAUAUAAAGAGCUGGGGUAAAAGAUAAGGUGCCUGUAUAUUUUUCUCAUGGAGUGGAUUUUUUUCAAUAUGCUACUGUAAAGUCACCCAAAGAAACCAGAAGCAGAGUUGUAUUUUUUUUUUGAAGUGAUACACAAAUUAAAAAAUGUAUAUUAAGGAAGAUUAUAGGACACAGAGAUGUAUGUCGAAUGAAAAUGGUGAUGGGAUUGGGCUUUAUGUUCUUUGUUUCACAUGCGGUUCCAACCACUGUAUUAGUAGUUGGGAGUUAAAAAUCAAGCAAAAAGAAAACACAUGCUCUAUAUUAGUCUGCUUGCUAGAAGGCAUUUUUAAAAAACACACGAAAUACCACUUUCUGUGGUAGGAGACAGAAACUGUGGUAGUUAAUUUACAAGCCAGAUAAUACCAUUUUCAUCCUAAUAGAAUAUCCCACAAGUGCUUUCAGGGGAUCGUGAAGGCCCAUUUUGACAUGAGUUCAUCUUCAGAGUGCCUCUGCACUCCCCAUGUACCUUCUCAUUUCCAAGGAAUAGGACACUAAUGCAAUGACUCUGCGCCAGAGUCCUCUUCAAAAUGCUGGCUUUGAUGGAAAUGGAACAGUUUUCUCUUAGUAUCCUCUGGUUACCUGAAAGAGCUGGUAUCCCCCUAUUUUUUUUCCCCCAAACUCUUGUUCUUGACUAUAAAAGUCUUCCUUUAUUUCCAUCUACUUAUAUAUUUGAAGCACUUUUCUUCCAAAGACUCAGGCUGCUUUAAACAUAUCAUUUUGGCUGUCUUUGUGUGAAGAACUCAUUUUACAACUCCAUGAAGACUGCAAAGGUAAGCACCAUUAAUCCAAUUCUUAAGUGGAUAAACACUACGAGAAGUUAAAUAGUGACAAUAGUGACAUAGUGACGCUAGCGUCUUUAAGCAGGACCAAAAUCCUAUCUUCUAAUUUCUAGAUAACGUUGCUAUCUCAUCGCAUUUGAAUGAUAUUAGUUUAGAGGUUCACAAAUUCAGACCAAAACCGUUUCCACAAACAUGACCAUGGUGGACUUCUAGGCUUUAGCUAGCUUAAUUCGACCUAUUUGAAAAACUGAAAAACUUCAGAUUCAAAUUUAUAUAUUUAACUUCCUCUAGGUUUCUCUGAAAAGAAAACUGGGUAUUUUUCCAUUAACAUUUGAAGUGAAGUAGCUUUUGCAUUCAUACUGAAAAGAAAAUUAAAAGAGGGGGAAGCAGGAUCAGAGCAAUUAUCAUACUAUUUCUCAAAAGGCUUUUCCAUAAAUGUUCUGAGUGUAUCAUGAGCUCAUUAACACAUGAGGAAAGUAAACUUACACAGGGUCAGGAAAAGAGGAAAUUUUAGUCGUAAAAGUACAAGUAAUUGAAAAUAACUGCAUAUUCAAGUUUCAGCGCUUACACUGAGGUUCUAAUAUUGAGUAUUUGCCCUUCUCGAGAUUCUGAUGGUUACAAAAAAACAUCAAGGGAAAACAACAAAACCCAAAUGGAUGAUGGGUUUUUCCUUUAGGGGAGAAGUUUAUUGUAAACAGAAGUGGUGGUUGGGAAGAACAAAAGGGGGGGCUGAGAAAGUGCCUGGAAGGAGGCUCUCCUGCUAACUAUGCAUGAAGUCAUCUCGAGUGGUUGCACUGGCUGUCCCCAGCCUUGAAAGAAUCCUGAGUGCCUGGAGGAGUGGGUCUUCCCACUGGAAGAGCCAACCCACCCAAGUAGAAAGUGCAGCCUGGGAACUAGCCCCAGGAGAAGUGGGCCUGCUUACACUUCCUACCAGCAAGCAGGCAGGAAGCACUGUCAGCCUGACAAAGAGGCAAGCAGAAGCCAAGGCUAAAAGUAGACUGCAUUUCUGAGGUUCUAACAUUGAAAGAACGGAAACCAUAUGGGAAUUUAUUAUUCAACUGAAGCCUUCAGGUGGCUUUAAAUUAAAAGGAAUAUCGUCAACCACAUCCCUAGGCCUUUUUCUUCCCUUUCUCUACCCCCUCCUCUUCUUUUCAAAUUUUACAAGCCCUGUGAUUUAGCAGUGGAAAUUCCCUAAAUAUAAAUGAAGCAUUAUGUCCACCCAAGAAAUUCUUUCUGGUAUUCAGCCAGUAGUUUGGCAUUAAAAGCUCUCAUGUGAGUCUUGGGAGGAUAACUUUGUGUGUGUGUGUGCGUGUGUAUACACACUCUCAUUUUUCCUUCUUUAGAAUUAUUCUGCAUUAUGUAAAGAUGCUUGUUGAGAGGUCUACAUGUAGCAUCAGAAGGGAUGCAUGCUCCCUGAAGAAAUGCAACAACGACAUAGAAAUGCAGGCCAAUCCUCCAAGAGUAUAAACUGGCCACACGGUUUUCUCUAACAGUAGCUAUCGUGCUUACAGAUGUCCUACCACUGCCAUCUCACAACUGAGAACAUCCCUCCAUAACUCAAACAUCAACUCUAAAGAGAGAGUAAUGAUGAGUGCCAUCAACAGGGCAUGCUGACAACACUGCGGCAACUCAGUACCCCGAAUCCUGACUCCGAAUAACCGAAGCUUGCUUCGUGCUCAAGCUCCAAGUCUGACCUAGGUCAGAGGGUCUUUCCAUCAGGCCUCCUUCAAGACUGGACUGCGAAGGUUACCACUAAGGCAGGUGGAAGGGGAUGAAACUGAAUCCGGAGGUGACUAUUCAACACCAUCUGGGAAGUAUGAGAUGUGACCUCGGCUCACAUUUCCUUGGCAAAGGCCAGUCACCUGGUCAUGCUUAACCUCAGAAGAAGCAAGAAAGUGCAACUGCAGUAAAUGUCCCAAAAAGAGGGCCACGGACACAUGUGUGAGCAUCUGUGAUGAUGGCAGCUUGUCUAUUAAAAGAAUAUACAACCUUCUAGAGCCCAUAAAACUUAUCACUUGAUACGUGACAUAGAUCAUAGAUCCCAUCUUAUGUUUACUUCUAUUCCCGGUCCCCGAGGAACAGAAUGAGAGAGAUAGACAAGACGGACAGACAGACAGAGACAGAGAGACUGAACAAUGUAGCUAUGAUAGUUUCUACUCCUUUGGACCCUUAUGUCAAUUUGGCAGGUUAAGUAAAACAUUUCUUUCUACUGUUCAUAACAAAGAUAAUAAAAUAAAUGAUUGAUGCUAUGUAUAUUCUUCGAGUGCUUCCUGGAUUCUCUGUAGGACAGGACAGGGUGCUCAGUCUCCAGUAAGACGGUUAAAGACAGCAGUUCACAAAGAUAUAUGGAAGGAAAUUCCUUGCUAGUCAUUUAAAGAGGGCCAAGUGAAUAUUUCACUCACCUGCCCUUCAUGCGCAUGUAAAUAUUCUCCCUGAAACACUGAGAGACAGAGUAUUCAGGACAAACUAUUUUAAUAUAAAUAUGUCUCUCUUCACUUAGAACAUACAGACCAGUAAAGGAAUGUCUGCAUAAAUCUUGUUUUCCCAAGAAACAGUCCCAAAAAAUGUGUUAUCGCAGAGAGAAGCUGAAGGUCAAAUGGGAAGGAAUACAUUGAAGAGGAACCUUAUUUUCUCUAGUUCAGAAAUACAUUCCUUCUCUAGUACAUGAACCCUGCCCUGCACCCUGAACUUUUAAAUAGGGUGGAGUGAAGGAAACGUAUUGGAAAGAGACUGGGGAGGCUUUGAGUAAUGUUAGAAUACUGCUUACUGUUUACUAGAUACAUGGAGGGAGUUAAAUAAAAAAUUCAUGCCAAACAGUAUCGCUACAAGAGACCAGCUGUUCUUAUUUAUUCCAACAGACAUGGUUGCACAGGACUCCAAGCUCUGUUAUCCAGGCUCAGUGUAACUACUCCAGCAACAAUUGCCAGGGCUUUGAAGUAACUCAGGUCACAGAACAAGGCACUCAUUUUACAGAGAAAUGCUUAAGACCCUUUUUUUUUUUUUUUCUAAGAAGAACUCUAAAUUUUACCUGAAAGCUCUCAAAUUUGACCAUAAAAAAGUCGCGCCAUAAUGUAGGCUCAGCUCCUCAAUUAUGGUCCUUCUCCCCUCAUGCCCAAGGCUCACCAGCCACCCUCACCCCCACCUCGUCAAACUCCACGCUCAUCUUGGAGGACAGACACCAUCCCUUGAAACAGGACCAAAGGUUGAUGCUCCCAGCACAGCACUGGCCUUCAGCAGGAAAGCCUGAGUGAAGUCACUCCCUCCUCCCAGAGGGCCUCUGAGUACAGCCAGCUCACUGCAAAAUUGGUGAGCCCUCUCAUUUCUUCUUCCUUUUUGAUCAUCGUCAAUAAGCAACUAUGAGGAAGAUGCUCUAAAUACUCCUGGCAUUUAAGUACUGAAGAGGGCUACGAGUGCAAAAGCAACGACUUUGGUCACGAGUGACCUCUAACGAGGGUGUUCUAAGUGCCAGGCUGCGUGCUAAGAGCUUUAUCACCUCAUUUAAUCCUUAAGACAAUGCCAUCUAUGGAUCUCCUUCCAAAAAGUACAAUGCGGAGGGGCGGAGCCACUUUAUAAUGGAAAAGCCUGAAAACAUAAUCUCAGCCAGGUGAUCCAGGUCAACCUCAACAGUAAUAAGCCUUGUUAAUAGUAUAUACCCUUGAUAUAACAUGUUGAGGACAAUCUUUCAAAAACCCAUAACCCAGUUUAAUCAUGAGAAAAACAUCAGACAAAUCCCCAAUUAGGGACAUUCUACAAAAUACUGACUUUAACUCUUCAAAACUAUCAAGGUCAUCAAAAAAUGAGUCUAGAAACAGCC
rnacentral:lncRNA from 1 species